rnacentral:rRNA from 1 species
AACGAACGCUGGCGGCAGGCCUAACACAUGCAAGUCGAGCGAAGCCUUCGGGCUUAGCGGCGGACGGGUGAGUAACGCGUGGGAACGUGCCCUUUGGUACGGAAUAGCCCCGGGAAACUGGGAGUAAUACCGUAUGUGGUCGAGAGACGAAAGAUUUAUCGCCAAAGGAUCGGCCCGCGUUGGAUUAGGUAGUUGGUGGGGUAAUGGCCUACCAAGCCGACGAUCCAUAGCUGGUUUGAGAGGAUGAUCAGCCACACUGGGACUGAGAAACGGCCCAGACUCCUACGUGAGGCAGCAGUGGGGAAUCUUAGACAAUGGGGGAAACCCUGAUCUAGCCAUGCCGCGUGAUCGAUGAAGGCCUUAGGGUUGUAAAGAUCUUUCAGUGGGGAAGAUAAUGACUGUACCCACAGAAGAAGCCCCGGCUAACUCCGUGCCAGCCGCCGCGGUAAAAC